rnacentral:piRNA from 1 species
CAGAGGAUGGGAAAGGAGGCGGCUCC